UACGGAGGGGGCAAGCGUUGUUCGGAAUUACUGGGCGUAAAGGGCGCGUAGGCGGCCGCCUAAGUCAGACGUGAAAUCCCUCGGCUCAACCGGGGAACUGCGUCUGAUACUGGGUGGCUUGAAUCCGGGAGAGGGAUGCGGAAUUCCAGGUGUAGCGGUGAAAUGCGUAGAUAUCUGGAGGAACACCUGUGGCGAAGGCGGCUUCCUGGACCGGCAUUGACGCUGAGGCGCGAAAGCCAGGGGAGCAAACGGG
rnacentral:rRNA from 1 species